rnacentral:ncRNA from 1 species
GCCGCAUGGCAUGUGUAUACUGUUUGGGGAAUAACUCCACGAGGUUCGUUACAAACGGCUACAGUUCAGUAGGUUGCUGCUGAUCAGCAGGAUCGAAGUGUAGGUGGGCGGCAUUUCCAAAGCUAACCUUCAAAUCAGACACCAUAUCCGGCUGGGCCACACACGUGUUACAAUGGCAAUGACAAUGGAAAGCAAGGCUGUAAGGCGGAGCGAAUCCGAAAAAAUUGCCUCAGUUCGGAUUGUUCUCUGCAACUCGGGAAUAUGAAGUUGAAAUCGCUAGUAAUCGUGGAUCAGCAUGCCGCGGU